rnacentral:rRNA from 1 species
CCUACGGGGGGCUGCAGUGGGGAAUAUUGGACAAUGGGGGGAACCCUGAUCCAGCCAUGCCGCGUGUGUGAAGAAGGCCCUCGGGUUGUAAAGCACUUUCAGUGAGGAAGAACGCCUGGUGGUUAAUACCCAUCAGGAAAGACAUCACUCACAGAAGAAGCACCGGCUAACUCCGUGCCAGCAGCCGCGGUAAUACGGAGGGUGCGAGCGUUAAUCGGAAUUACUGGGCGUAAGCGCGCGUAGGUGGCUUGGAUAAGCCGGUUGUGAAAGCCCCGGGCUCAACCCUGGGAACGGCAUCCGGAACUGUCAAGCUAGAGUGCAGGAGAGGAAGGUAGAAUUCCCGGUGUAGCGGUGAAAUGCGUAGAGAUCGGGAGGAAUACCAGUGGCGAAGGCGGCCUUCUGGACUGACACUGACACUGAGGUGCGAAAGCGUGGGUAGCAAACAGGAUUAGAUACCCCUGUAGUC